UGCCUGUUCGAGCGUCAUUACAACCCUCAAGCACUGCUGGUAUUGGAUGAUACCACCUGGUGCAUCUCAAAAAAAUUGGCAGCGGCACUCAGCUUCUGGUGUAGUAAUUUUUCUCGUUACAGAGCCCAGGUGGUCACUUGCCAAAACCCCCCUCUUUUAAGGUUGACCUCGGAUCAGGUAGGGAUACCCGCUGAACUUAA
rnacentral:misc_RNA from 1 species